UACGGAAGGCAGCAGUGGGGAAUAUUGCACAAUGGGCGAAAGCCUGAUGCAGCUAUGCCACGUGUAUGAAGAAGGCCUUAGGGUUGUAAAGUACUUUCAUCGGGGAGGAAAACAAAACUAAUAAUUUUAUUUCUUGACGUUACCCGAAAAAGAAGCACCGGCUAACUCCGUGCCAGCAGCCGCGGUAAUACGGAGGGUGCUAGCGUUAAUCAGAAUUACUGGGCGUAAAGAGCACGUAGGUGGUUUUUUUAAGUCAGAUGUGAAAUCCCUGGGCUUAACCUAGGAACUGCAUUUUGAAACUGAAAUACUAGAGUAUCGUAGAGGGAGGUAGAAUUCUAGGUGUAGCGGUGAAAUGCGUAGAUAUCUGGAGGAAUACCUGUGGCGAAAGCGGCCUCCUAAACGAAUACUGACACUGAGGUGCGAAAGCGUGGGGAGCAAACAGGGAUUAGAUACC
rnacentral:rRNA from 1 species